rnacentral:rRNA from 1 species
CAGCACCUCAAGUGGUCAGGAUGAUUAUUGGGCCUAAAGCAUCCGUAGCCGGCGCUGUAAGUUUUCGGUUAAAUCUGUACGCUCAACGUACAGGCUGCCGGGAAUACUGCAGCGCUAGGGAGUGGGAGAGGUAGACGGUACUCGGUAGGAAGGGGUAAAAUCCUUUGAUCUAUUGAUGACCACCUGUGGCGAAGGCGGUCUACCAGAACAUGUCCGACGGUGAGGGAUGAAAGCUGGGGGAGCAAACCGGAUUAGAUACCCGAGUAGUCC